ensembl:lncRNA novel transcript
CUAUCAUGUUAGAGGUCUCUGAUCUCUGAAGAUCUUUGCUUAAAGGAAGUCUGCCUUGGCCUUUGAGAAACUGCUCUCUUUAUCUCUGAAGACAAAGGAAAGGGUUACCUGUUUCAGCAUCCUCGAGCCUGUGUUCCUCAUCGGGAGGUUUGGAUGGUGGCCCCAUGGAUGGAACUCGCCUAGGAAACUGCCCUUCUGAAUAGUCCAAUGAGUGUGUGGGUUGACUAACUGCAGCCCAGGUAUAAAGUUGAUCUUGCUAUAUUUAAAAAUAAAAAAUGUUGAAAUGCUAUUAAUUCAGUUACAAAAAAAUAAGCCAUGACUAAUACAUUGCAAAAUCA